GAACGCUGGCGGCACGCUUAACACAUGCAAGUCGAACGAGAUCUUCGGAUCUAGUGGCAGACGGGUGAGUAACGCGUGGGAACCUGCCCAGUAGUAGAGAAUAACUUGAGGAAACUUAAGCUAAUACUUUAUACACCCCUCGGGGAAAAGCUUUAUGCGCUAUUGGAUGGGCCCGCGUUAGAUUAGUUUGUUGGUGAGGUAAUGGCUCACCAAGACUACGAUCUAUAGCUGGUCUGAGAGGAUGAUCAGCCACACUGGGACUGAGACACGGCCCAGACUCCUACGGGAGGCAGCAGUGGGGAAUAUUGGACAAUGGGGGCAACCCUGAUCCAGCGAUGCCGCGUGAGUGAUGAAGGCCUUCGGGUUGUAAAACUCUUUCGUCAGGGAAGAUAAUGACGGUACCGAAGAAGAAGAUCCGGC
rnacentral:rRNA from 1 species